UACGUAGGGGGCGAGCGUUGUCCGGAUUCAUUGGGCGUAAAGAGCUCGUAGGCGGCUUGGCAAGUCGGAUGUGAAAACUCCAGGCUCAACCUCGGGUCUGCAGUCGAUACGAGCAAACUAGAGUGUUGCAGGGGAGACUGGAAUUCCUGGUGUAGCGGUGAAAUGCGCAGAUAUCAGGAGGAACACCGGUGGCGAAGGCGGGUCUCUGGGCCGUAACUGACGCUGAGGAGCGAAAGCGUGGGGAGCGAACAGG
rnacentral:rRNA from 1 species